AACGCGAAGAACCUUACCUAAGCUUGACAUCCUUUUGACCGAUGCCUAAUCGCAUCUUUCCCUUCGGGGACAGAAGUGACAGGUGGUGCAUGGUUGUCGUCAGCUCGUGUCGUGAGAUGUUGGGUUAAGUCCCGCAACGAGCGCAACCCUUGCCUUUAGUUGCCAGCAUUAAGUUGGGCACUCUAGAGGGACUGCCAGGGAUAACCUGGAGGAAGGUGGGGAUGACGUCAAAUCAUCAUGCCCCUUAUGCUUAGGGCUACACACGUGCUACAAUGGGUGGUACAGAGGGCAGCCAAGUCGUGAGGCGGAGCUAAUCCCUUAAAGCCAUUCUCAGUUCGGAUUGUAGGCUGAAACUCGCCUACAUGAAGCUGGAGUUACUAGUAAUCGCAGAUCAGAAUGCUGCGGUGAAUGCGUUCCCGGGUCUUGUACACACGC
rnacentral:rRNA from 1 species